AACGCACGAGACCUGCGGACCUGCGGAGGGAUCAUUAAUGAGAAACUACCCCUCGCGGGUAGAUCUCCCACCCUUUGUAAACUUACCUUUGUUGCUUUGGCAGGCCCGUCUCCGGACCGCCGGCUUCGGCUGGCCAGUGCCUGCCAGAGGAUUCUAAAACUCUGUCUGUCAGUGUUGUCUGAGUCUAUAUACAAUCGUUAAAACUUUUAACAAUGGAUCUCUAGAUCGGAAGAGCACACG
rnacentral:misc_RNA from 1 species